GGUCUCCUCUGCGCCCUGAGUUGCACGAGAACAGGGCUGUGCUGUCUCUCCUUCAGCACCACAGUCCCCGCACCCUGGCCUACGGCUGCGACACAUCCUUGUCUUUGAGGCUGAGCCGACAGAAAUUUCUUCUUCCAGUUUGAGAAUGACCAGUCAGCUAUGUUCCCGGCUCCUCUUGCAUUUAUUGGAACCUGCUUACCCAACAAUCCACAAAGGAGCUUACACGGAGGAAAGUGAAGCUGUGGGAACGCGCCCAACCCUCUAUUAAUACUGGUCUAUUGGAGACCCCUCCUGGCCACGCUGUGAGAGCCACUGACUCCCAAGGCCCGGGUCCCCACUCCCCCCUCCGGCCCCGCCCCCAGCCGGGCCCCCUGUGCGGAAGCAGCAGCAGGGGGUCCUGAUCCCGGGUGAGCCCCGUGCAGCCCAGCCGGGAGCUGAGCCGGGAGCGCAGAGGCUGCCACUGACCGUGACGAUCUCCAGCACUUCGUUCUUGCUGAUGCUGCCAUUGCCAUCUACAUCGUAGAGGGAGAAGGCCCACUCCAGCUUCUGGUUGGUCUUGCACAUGCUGGUCAUGUGCAGGGCGAUGACAUACUCCUUGAAGUCCAAGGUGCCAUCGCUGUUGGCAUCGAAGCUGCGGAACACGUGCUGGGCGUAGGCCUUGGGGUCGGCGUCGGGGAAGAACUUGGAGUAGAUGGUCUGGAACUCCUGCUGGGUGAUGCGGCCACUGGGACACUCCUUCAGGAAGGACUGGUACCAGGUACUCAGCUCUUCCUCUGUGAACCUGGUGUUCAGCUGCAGCUCCUCCAGGAUCUCCUUGGACAGGGCUCCGCUUUUGCUGUUCCCCAUGGGUGAGCAGGUGUGGGCCCAGCCGGUCUGUCGCCGCUGGGUGGGUGGGUGUGUGGGAGGAAUGGGGUCUCCGGGCUGCCUGGCUGGGUGCUGCUGGAGGCGGUUGCACCCUGAGAUGCUGGUGGAUUAGGCGGAUUUGUGUCUGGUUCACCCCUGUACUUGGAGGGAGGAGGGGCCCGGAGCUUGAGUGGGGAGACGAGCUCCCAGAAGCCCCCUGAGAUUAAAAUAAAGAGCUGACAGCAGGAGGUCAAUCCCUCUUGGCCUUCUGGGAGGAUAGGACAGGUGAUCCGAAUCUUCAGAGCCGCAGCCUUGAGCCGAGGCCUUUCCCACUGCCCCUCACCCAUCCCUGCGCCAACUUACCCCACCAGCUCUAGCUCUCUAAGAGCAACGAUGUUCCCUGCCUGCCUUCUGAGGGUCUCAGCGACAGGGAUGGCCCUGUAAUGCAGGGGUCAGGAGUCAGGCUCUGGAAGCAGCCCAGCUUUGCAAUUCACUUUGCAAUUUCAAAUCUCAGCUUUGCAAUUCACUAGCUGUGUGACCCCAGGUGCGUUUCUUAACGUCUCUCUGCCUAGAAUUCUCUUCCCCUAAUCUUUCACCUCCUUCAUGGCUUUCCUUAAAUGUCGCCUUCUCAGCCAGGCCUAUAGUGACCAUUCUGUCAACAAGAGCACCCCAACCGUCAGGCUGUUUAUCCUGCUUGACUGCUCUUCCUUGAUCGCACGUGCACCUUCUGACUUACUGUUUACGUAUUCUGCCUGCUGCCUGGGAUCGCACCAGAAUGAAAGCGCCAUGAAGGCGGGGAUUCUAUCUAUUUUGUUGCCCGCUGCAUCUCCAUCGACAGAAGGGUAUCUGGCGGGUUUGGGCCCUCAGUGACUAUUCUUUGAGUGAACAGGCAUGAUAAUAGCGUCUCUCCCACUGUUAUUGUGAGGCUGAAACGAGUUAAUACGUGCAAUGCAUUUAGAACAGAGCCUGGCACGUAGUAAGAGCUGAACGCAUGUUAGUUUUUGCCAUUCUUCUUCUAUGACAGGGAUCAAAAACUAAACUGCUUACAGGGGCCAGCAAGUGGAGUGUGUGAGUGAAGCCGGGGGUCAGGGAGGCAGUAGGCGUGGUGAGGCCCACGCCUGCAUGGCAGGGGCUGCCAGUGUUUGACUCCAUUUGAAUGUGGUCAGAUGGGAUUAUGGCCUGGUGUUACUAGAUUUUUUGGUAAGCCAAAAGAAAUCCAGAAAUCAGAUUUUCAGGUUUGAAAUUUCCAAAUUUGGAAAUUUGGAAAAAAUUGGAAAUUUGCAAUUUCCAAACUUUAAGAGUGAUUUCCAAAUUUUCAAAAAUUUUCAAAAGCAUAGGGUGGGAUAAAUAUAACUUAUCUGUGGCUCCGUUUCAGCAGCAGGUCAUCAGUUUGCAACCAAGCCUGGUGCCAGGAGCUGGCAGACAACAUGCUUGUUGAGUGAGUGACUGGACAAGCAGGGGACAGGGAGCUCCACCAGGGGAGGCUUCCGCCGCUGCGGUCAGCUCGGUCAGCAGGACAGGCCACAGGGAAGAGCCCUUGUGAGUAGGUCUGCACCUGAAAUCGCAUCACCCAAAGGAGAGGUCGGUGGCGCCCUGGCUUGGCUGGCAUAACGCCUGGAACCCCAGAAUCGCCAUCUUGGACAGGAGAGAUGUCUCUUCUUUGUCCAGGGGUGGUAACCAUAAAGAAUGAAGCCCACAGUGUCUAGGCGGACUUUCACUAUCUUGCAGCAUUUGUUCUCCAGAGCAGUUGGAAACAGGACAGUCACUGGACUCAAAAACAAACAAACAAACAAAAGCCAGGCCAUGAAAGUGAGGCCAGAGGCCUUCACCCUGGCCUCUGAACCUGGCAUGGGAGGUGAUUAGAAGUGCCUCCUGGGUAUCCACACCGAGACUGCAGGUGAGGCGAGGCCGAUGUCACAGGAAGAAACCAAGCUCCAAAAGGAUGUCACCUGCCUGUGUCACACAGUUGCCAAAUGGCGAAGCCAGGAGGAAAGCCCAGGGCAGCCUCCCCACUGAGGGCUCUUUCCAAGACAUUACAGCCGCCUCCCUUCUCAAGGAGGCCUGAGCAGAGGGGUCAAGAAGCCGCAUUUCUGAAGGUGAGGACCUGGGUUGCCAUGACGACGGAAGAGGCGGGUAAGGAGGCAGGGCCCCGGCUUAACACAGAAGGCAGCCAGAGCUCCCUCAGUCCCUCUGCCCUUCCCAAGGGCAAGGAGGAAGGCGCAGGUACUGUCCACAUUCUUCAGGUUGCUGUGCCCAGGAGGGGCCCAACCGUGGGAGGGGACCACAGGCAGCUGUGUUGAUGCUGCCGAGAGAGGGGUCAUGACCUGGAGGUUUGUUUGAAAACCUGAAUAAACAUCUUCUAUCAGAGGGAGAGUUUAUGCUCCUUAGCCAAACAAGUUGUUGGGGAUGAUGUAUUGUGAACGGAUUUGUUAAGUCUGAGCCGGGGCCAUAAACUCUCCCCGAACCCCUAAGACCACUGGGGAGAAGGCCUCGUCUCCAGCCAGUGACUCUGUGUCUCCCUCUCCCGGCCUGGCCUUCACUGAAAGACACAGGCUCUUCCCAGGGGCUGGCCCUGUUCCACCCCAAGCUGGGAGUCCCCCAGCUCCCAUCCCGUUCCUCUACCUUCCCCUGCGUGAGCUGAACGGCAAGCGGACCCUUCGACCCCGGCCAGGAAGCAGAGAGCUAGAAAAUAAGUUCCAUGAGGUCAGGGUUCUUGAUCUGUUUUCAUCACUGAUGUGUUCCCAGUACUGAGAGCAGUGUCUGACAUACAGUGGUGUUCAAUAAUUAUUGGAUGGAUGGAUGGAUGGGUAAGAGAAGAAAUAACAGCCAGGAGCCUCUUCCGUUCACAGGGGUCCAAGGAGGAACUACCUCAUUCUCAACAGCUCACGAAACUCGUAAGUUUUUGUGUCUGAACAGAGAAGCGCCUGGGUAUCCCUCUCAUGAGGGUGUUAGGUGACAUCACGCACAGCCGUGCUGACGGGACACAGAUUGGGCAUGACGUGGGCACAGGGUACAAAACUGGAGGUGCCAAGGGGAGGAGACAGAACGCAGCAGCUGGAGGAGGCCUGGGAGACCGUCUAGAACGAACACCUUCAGUUUGCCGAUGAAGGAACAGAGAUCCAGGAGAGGGUGGUGAUGGGCUCCCUGUCUUCUCAUCCACGCUCCCUCCACCCACCUUCCACACCCUCUAACCCUCACCAAAUGGCAGGGACUGGGCGAGUUGAAGGGAGGGUCCCCCGAAGCAAGCAGAACUACCAGCUGAGAUGCCAGCGGAAAUGGAGGGCAGUGGAGACCCUGCCCGCCCCCUCCCCCCGCCACGAUCCGAAAACGCAGGCGUGAGCCCCAAGAACCGCUCGUGGGCGCCGCUGGCUGAAAGCAGCUGUGCAAACGAGCUUAAGACCCCAGGCCAGGAACUUCGGGGGCAGACAACUCAUUUUAAAAGCAAGGAAGCAGUGGGGAGCACCCAUGCAACGGACCGCUACUCGGAGAUAGAAGGGGACAAGCUCCUGACAUCCAGCCACAAGGUGACUCAGAGGCAACGGGCCGAGUGACGGAGGCCAGACUCUAAGGCUGCUGCAGUGUGGCUCCACUUCUACGACAUUCUAGAAAAGGCGAAUCUGCAGGGUCAGAAAAUCCAUCAGUGGUCACCAGGUGCUGGGGGUGGGAGGAGUGGAUGGACAUCAAAGGAGCCUGAGGGGAUGUUCUGGAGUGAUGGAAAUACCAUGUUGAUUUCGGUGCUGGUUACAAGGCUGUGUACCUUUGUCAAAAUUCACUGAACUGUAGACUUCAAAAGGGUGAAUUAUACUGUAUGUCAAUGAAUCCCCGAUACCAAACGUCAAAGAUCUCAAUAAACUUGUAAAAAGAAAAGGCAGGGGGACUUGUAGGGGCGGGGAGGUUUAUGGAAAUAAGACAGUAUGCCGGCUAAGGAAGCCGGCCGCUGGUCUGCGCCCCACUUAACAUUUGUCCGAGGCUUUCCCCACCUACAUAGUCAGCAGCAGGUCUGCAGAAUCCUGUUUAAACUCUCCUUGUCAAGGCCACUCACAGCUGCAAGUAAAAUCACUUAAACAAGCUGAGGUCUUUGACGUCCUUUGAAUUUCAUGGCUUGAACUGCCAAGAAGGGGGCUUUGGCUCCACCAGGAUUUCUCUGCACCCAUCCCCUAAUCUCGUAAUGGAUUGGUUUUCACAAAGGGAACAGAAACAAACCCCUGGUUCCUGAGUUUGCUUCGAUCAUUAAUCAGCCCCAGUGAAAGGAGGCCCAAGGCGGUUCCACGGGCAGAACCUUGGGGCAGCCGUCCCUGUGGCUCAGCUGGCCAGGGCUUUGCAAUACUGAUCAAAAGCAAGAGAAAAAAAAAAUGGAGAGGAACAAGUAGCUUUUCCUGGAGGUUUUCGUGGCAACUCACUUUUGUUUUAGAGACUGUUUUGUAAAAAAUCAGGGCUAUCACAGACAAAACGAAGUGCACCCGUGUCUCCCAGGUAGAAGAGGCUCACCUGUCCUCAGAAAUGGAACAACGGAUGUGCUCAAGGAUGGCCUGGGGCCACUCACCCUGAAUCAAGCCAGGCAGACCCUCCUAUAACCUACGCGGAGUAGGCGGAGUGCCUGUCUGGUACGCAGCUACAUUUCUAGUACCGGCACAAUGCCUGGCUUGCCCCAAGUGUCUGCCGAUUAAAUGAAUGAAUGAGUGAAUGAGGGAACGAAUGAAAGAAGAGCUAUCAGCACAACAGACAGUGUCUCUGCAAACCUAAAUUCUGCAGCGAGUACCUGUAUGUGAAUGCCAAAGUUACUGACCUGCAAGACCCCUGGAGAAAAGACAAGUCUAUACCAAACAAGAGACUGUGGGCUUCCCGGAUGACAGGGCCAUACCUUGUCCCUAGAUCUUAGCACAUUGCCCAGGCUCAGCUAAAUGCCUGAUGAAUGAAUAAACGAGGGAAGAAAAAAGAAAAAGAUGUGGAAGGGCUAACGAAACCGAGAGAAAAGGAUGAGGGGGAAAGAAUGACUUCAGAAAAUAGACUGGCCCACAAGGGGCCAACUUGGGCUACCCUGAGAGAGGCAAGAGAGCCCCAGGGAAGCACAGAAGACUCCGGAAUCCUCAGAUGGGGAUGAGAAAACAAAAUCAACGAGCGAUAUCACACUUAAAGUAUCUGCGUUAAUAACAAGGCUGUUGGCUUUGAAUGUCGGGAAAUCGCCCACAAAUUAGUUUAGCAAGCCACAAAGCAAUUACUACUAGCACCGAUCUUUGACAGAGAAACCAAAGAAAUGAUAUCCCCAAGCUGGCAGCUGGUGUCAUGGCCCAACUUCAGACCAGGAGUGGUUCUCCAUGCCAGACACACAUCCGUCCUGCUGGCCUCCAUGUUGGUGAAGGCCUUCCUGCUGACCUUUCUGGUUGGGAUGUUUCAAUAAAGAAACUGGCAAAGCUUGGUUUGCUUUAGGCUAUACGGCAUCUUUCUACCGUAACUACGAGGCCGCCACAGUGACUCAAAAGGCAGAGGUGCCAAAAGAGUCAAGAAUAACAAGUCAUCGGUUACCAGCAUGGACGGCAGAGAGAAGGACCAGUGAGUUACCUCAGACGUCUGCCCUCACGAGAAACACGUGAGUCCUGUGAAUCCAAAGUAAUCAAGGGAAAGAUUAACGGGAAAGAUGGGUUCUCAGGGUGCGGGUUCCGGGCCAGAACGUGCCCCUUGCAAGCCGUCUGACCUCCUUCAGCCCUUUUCUUCCUCCCGUGGCCUCGAGCUGCUUCUCAAGAUUUAACACGUAAGGGAGAAAGUGAUGAGUGAGGACCCGAUGGCGGUGCCAAAGCUUCCCAGGUCACGCUCAGACCAGGCUCUCCCAGGAAUGGGGAGGUGGGCAAAGGGCAAGGGGGUAGCAGCACCAAGCAGGGGCUCCGUGCGGGGAUUUGAAACGUGCAGGAGCUGAGAGGCCAAGGUGCCAGACUGCCUGGUGACACGUACUGCGGCUACGAGAGUCUGCGAUGCCUGCACAGUGCCUGCCAGUGAGAGCCAUACACGAGACGGUGGUCCCGACCCCGCUGUGCCUAGGCAGGUGGGGCCAUCUGGGGGGCGACAGACACUUGCCCCAACCCAUCUCCAACACGGGACUGACCCAGCCCCCAGGACAAGCGAGGGUGGAAGAGGGAGCUCACCCGAGGAAGCGGCUGUGGGCUGGGUGGACGGGGCUGCCCAGAGACAGCACGUGACAUUGAUGCCCGAUCUAAUAGGAAACACGAUUCAAUGCUCCAACUUGGGGCGAAUUUGCUGAAUGAGGUAGUUCCCUCCUGACCUCUGCAGGCAGGGUCGGUCUGGGAAAACAGGAGGCAGGCAUUCUUCCCAAGACUCCCAGUGAUGAAAAGCAGCAGAGAAGAGCCAGGAUGUGGGCUCCCAGAAUAUGCAAUGGGAAAAAACAAAGAGGGAGGGCUGCUGCAAAGGAUUCUGGGUGCGGGCUGUUGAGCUGAAAGGUGCCUUCUAUCCACGAUUCUGAUCCUGACACUUGGCUUGGAGACAGAGACCUCUCUCCCCCGCCCUUCCAAAGCCCUGGAGACAAGCGGGCUGGCUGGAGGAAGGGCCUUGGGGCUUCCAGGGGCGUGAGCGUGUGACACAGCUGGCUCUGGGUGGGGAGGGGACCUCUCUGGUGCUCAGCAGGGACCACAACGUUCCAGCCUCGGUUUGUUCUCGGAGUGGCAAGCACGGCAUGGGACUUGGGGGGGCUUCAACCUCGGAGACAAGGGCAGGGCUGUGGAUCCAUCUUCUCGGCCUGGGAACACUGAGGAGCUCCCCACGGGGCCAUCCGGGCCGCCCUUCUGGCUUCACUGUCCCCUCUCCUCAGUGGACCAGGAGAGCGGGUGGGAGAGCAGCCCCGCUUGGGAGCAGGUCCCCCCCUGGCAGGAGUGCCACCUCCUCUGCGUGGGACCCCAGCCCCUCCUCGGCAGGACCCCCCAGGCCGUGUGUCUAGAUCUCCAUGUCCACGGGGCGGAUGUUGCCCGUCUUGUGCUCCCUGACCCACAGCUCCCUGUCUUUGGCUGGGUCCACUUUUCGAAGCAGUUGGUCCACAGGCUCGACUGUCUGCAAGGGAUAGAGAAGAGGGAUAUCUUCAGAGGCAGCGGCCGAGCCAGGGACAUAUCCUCUGAACCACGCUGCUUACACCCUCGUGCCCGUCAGAGCAGCCUCUCUAGAGGGCUGUGAGGCCCCGGGGAGGCCCGUGCGAGGGACAGACGUGGCAGGGGCUGGAAGACCCGGGGGCCUGAAGCUCUGGCCUCUGCCCUGCUUUCCCUCGUGCAUGUGACCCUCCAGACGUCAGGGUGGAUGAAAGGGCAGGUGGCCCAAGGGUCUGUGACCUGUUUCUCCUUCCAUCAGUCUCCACAUUUACCACCUGAGAACAGGUCAAAUGGAACGUCGGCCUGAGAGGUUUUGAAUAGUUCCAGCAUCGUAAGAAAUUCGCCAGGGGAGGCAAGGACAUCUCCAGCUAUUUUAACUAUCGUGACGCAUCUACGUGAUGCACUCGGGAUGGAUUCACGUGGACAUCCAGGGUAACUGACAUGUCCAUCCCAAGAGGUCACCCACAGGCCCGAGCCCGUGCCCACCUGCCAGACAGAUUCACCUGUAGCAGCUCCUUGACCUGCCACCACGGCACAGGGCCAUGGCUCUCCCCGGCCCCAUGCCCCCCAGGGGCCCCGCUGGCCUCGGCCCGGGGAACUCACGCUUUGGUUGAACAUGUCCGUCUCGUGCCGCAGCUGCGUGUACUGGCACAGAUGCUGCCGGAUCAUCUCCACCCUCUCCACCUCCAGCCGUUCCAGCUCCUGCAGAGGAGGAAACCGGCAGAGACCUCUGGGGGUGUCCCUUCCACCUGGGGACCUUCCCCACCAUGCGGGUCCCACACCCCCCUAUACACAAAACACAGAUGCUGCCUGCUUAUCCCCCAUCCUGCCUGACCCUCUGGGGUCUGACGAGGAACCCACCCCGUAUCUGGGAGUGAAGGUGUAGCUGACGGCACAGCAGUUACUGUCUCCUGACUCUCGUUCUGCCAGGCGUGGUGGGUGCUAAGGGCUUUACGGGCACUGCUUAAUUGUCCUCAUCAUAACUAUAAGAGGUUCUCUUCUUACCCACAUUCUCCAAACAAGGGAAUGAACACCUGCAGAGGUAACAUCGCUUGCCCACAGCGACAGGGAAUUAUGGGAGCAGCGGCAUUUGCACCAGGGUCUGUCGUGCCCUUAAUCACGCGUCUGCACCGGUGCAGCCCCAGCCCCAGCCCCUGAUGGCGUGGAGAGAUGGAACACGUGCAGAAGCUUCUGCACCUCCAACUCUUGGGGCUUUGUCCCCGGGCCUCUGCUGAGCGGCCUCGUCUCCUCUGUCCACCCCAAGCGCUGAGGGGCAGGUCAAGGGAGCCAGGAGGGCCGGGAGCAGGGUGGCCACUGUCAAAGGGAAGCGCGGAGUGUUUGCCCUUUGGAUCCUAGGUGGCCCCGCAUCUUUGGAAUUUAGGAGAUCUGGCUGCUCUUCUGUGCACAACUAGGUCACUGUUCAGGUGAUUAACCUGGGCGCAGGAAGUAAAGCAGGGAGUUUAAUUAGGAGAUUAACCAGGAGGAAAACGAGGUCACUGUGCCCGGGGGAGGCCUCUAAUCUGCUCUGGUGGACUGGCACCUGGGGAAGGCGGAGGGUUAGUCUCAUGCUGGACAGACAGAUGGACGGCGGUGGCUUGGGGGCCGCGGGACGGUGUGGUAAGCACCUGGCAUGAUGCCUCCUUUCUCAUCUGGCCCCACGACCCACGUGCCAACCCCGCUUCACCCCCUUCAGCGGGUGCUGACUUCACAGAAAUACUCAACUUGGUUAUUUUUCCUAAAGGGACCACUGUCUGCUUGGUUGACGCUGACCCCUCGGAGGAUGCAGCACGAGCGCAUCGUCGCCCGUGUUCACACAGCUAGGAAGUACCGGGGCAGGGAUCUGAGUCCACACAGGCUGGUCCGGAGUUGAGGUCUCAGUCCCAACACUAGAGCAGAUCUAAUGACCAUCUCCACGGUCACCUCCACCCCAUUGCCUGCACAUCCACCACCAUCCACCCAGGGAUUCCUGAGCGCCCGCCCCUGCACGGACAAGCGUAUGCAUCUCUGGUCACUCACCAACGUGGUGGUCACCAUCUCUUCAAACCACUUGGACUGGGCCUGGUUGUAGAGGUCCACACAGCGCAUGAGGUCAUCUCCUGGAAGGGCCAAGGCCACUGUCAUACUCUGUCCUGUCCUCACCAUGGCCGCCUUCUCCCACCUGCACCCCACAGCCAGGGUGAUGGAGGCCACCGGAAAAGUUGCGGGGUGGAGAGGAUGAACAGAGCAAGAGAAGGGGGCAACCCAGCCUUACGAGAGGCUGGCUUCAGAGUGUCUAUCUGAACUAGACUCCAGACACCAAAACUCAGGAAGGGGUUUUCUCAGUAAGAAUAUAUAUAUGGUAGGGGUGGGGGGGUACUCCUAGGACCCCCAACUCUAUCAUGAGCCCAAGAAAUGCUUCCUCUUCUAAAGAUGGGAGUUUCAUUUCACAUUGGAGAGUCCUGCUUGGUUGACACAUGUGUCUCAAGCAACUUGCUACUAGUUAGAGUUAAAGAAGGGAAGUUUGCAAAUCACGUGUGUGUGUGUGCGUGU